UACGUAGGUGGCAAGCGUUGUCCGGAUUUAUUGGGUUUAAAGGGUGCGUAGGCGGCCUAUUAAGUCAGUGCUGAAAUAUCCCGGCUUAACCGGGAGGGUGGCAUUGAUACUGAUGGGCUUGAGUGGAGUCGAGGUAGGCGGAAUUGACGGUGUAGCGGUGAAAUGCUUAGAUAUCGUCAAGAACACCGAUAGUGUAGACAGUUUACUAGGCUCAAACUGACGCUGAGGCACGAAAGUGUGGGGGAUCAAACAGG
rnacentral:rRNA from 1 species